rnacentral:lncRNA from 1 species
AUAGACGCAAAUUUAACUUUUAAGAAACUCACUGGUGGCUGGGCGCGGUGGCUCAUGCCUGUAAUUCCAGCACUUUGGGAGGCCGAAACGUGUAGAUCAUCUGAGGUCAGGAGUUCAAGACCAGCCUGUCCAACAUGGUGAUACCCCAUCUUUACAGAAAUACAAAAAUUAGCCGGGCAUGAUGGCGGGUGCCUGUUAUCCCAGCCACUUGGGAGGCUGAGGAGGAAGAAUCGCUUGAACCCAGGAGAUGGAGGUUGCAGUGAGCCAAGAUCACACCAUUACACUCCAGCCUGGAUGGCAGAGUGAGACUCCAUCUCAAAAAAAAAAAAAAAAGAAAUUCACUGGCUUGUCCAAAGGUAGUAUGUUAUCUCAAUUGAUUUUUCAUAUUCAGUUACAGAUCAAACUCCUUGUUCUACUCUUUCCCUCUUCUCACUACUACACUUGAUGAGUGGAAAGAAGGAAGGAAGGAAGGAGAGAAAGAAAAAGAAAGAAAGAGAAAAAGAAGAAAGAAAGAAAGAAAGAAAGAAAGAAAGAAAGAAAGAAAGAAAGAAAGAAAGAAAGAAAGAAAACUCACAAAAUAUUUGUUUUCCAAGUGGUUGUACUAUAUUAUGUUCCUACCUGCAGUGAGGGUUCCUGUUGGUCCAAAUCCUUACUGACGCUUUGUAUGAUAGGACUUCUUCCAAACUGCUCAUUACUUUAAAACAUUUGAUGUUUGAGCAUGCUGCUUGUCAUAAAGUUCUGUCUUCUACUGGACCAAAAUCUGCCUCUUUGUAACUUCCUCUAGUUCCAUGUUUUUACCACUGAGUAGUUGGGUUAUCGCAGUCUAAUUCCAUUGAGGAACAUCAAUUAUCUUUAUUUUUUAUUAUCCAUCUUAUGUUUGAUUCUAUGUUUCAUUAAAUCAAUUUUUUCCCAAUUGUUUUAAUCUCUUUGUCAU